CGAAUGGGUUACUCAUAUGCCCAA
rnacentral:siRNA from 1 species